rnacentral:lncRNA from 1 species
CAGGCUCUAAUAGAUAGUUCUCAAACUGGUCUUGCAACCAAGUAAAAAAUAAAACAGUUACCAACAAGAAAAAAUCUGGGUCAUCUACUUCAUUGAAUACAUUUAAAAAGUCCAUCACUAUAUUUUAAAGUUGAAGACAGAUGUAGCCAUUAGUUCAAAUCCCCCUUUUUUUUAAUGAAAAAAAAAACUCAAGCAUAUACAUUAACACACAUUUCUUCAAACACAUGAAAUGCAAUUUACAUAAAACAUAAAACCUUAACAAUAAAAAAUGGUAAACCAACCAUGAACACACUUAGAAUUAAUGACUUAACAAAUCCCAUUAAUGUCUUUUUGUUUUCAAAUUUUCUACUAUAUACUUGAACCUAUCUCUCAUCUAACAUAACUCUAACAUCCCAACUUUGUGUUUAUUCUUAAUUACCAUUCAUUUUGCUUGUUUAGAUAUAAUAUACAAAUUUCAAAACCAGAACUUAAACAUCAGAAUAAUCACAUGCUAUCCUUUCAACUUAAAUUUGUGGUAGAAGCUUAAAAAUUUAUCCCUUCAAGUUACAAUAAAACCACAAAAC